AUACGUAGGGGGCGAGCGUUAUCCGGAUUUAUUGGGCGUAAAGCGUGUGUAGGUGGUUUAUUAAGUAUAAGAUUAAAGCCCGAGGCUUAACCUCGGUUCGUUUUAUAAACUGGUAGACUUGAGUAUGGUAGAGGCAAAUGGAAUUUCUAGUGUAGCGGUAGAAUGCGUAGGUAUUAGAAGGAACACCAGUGGCGAAAGCGAUUUGCUGGGCCAUUACUGACACUGAGACACGAAAGCGUGGGGAGC
rnacentral:rRNA from 1 species